UCUUUGGUAGUUCAGUGGUAGAAUUCUCACCACCCAUUCAGGAGACCAGGGUUCGAUUCCCAGCCAAUGUA
rnacentral:tRNA from 1 species